UACGAAGGGGGCUAGCGUUGCUCGGAAUUACUGGGCGUAAAGGGAGCGUAGGCGGACAUUUAAGUCAGAGGUGAAAUCCCGGAGCUUAACUUCGGAACUGCCUUUGAUACUGGGUGUCUUGAGUGUGAGAGAGGUAUGUGGAACUCCGAGUGUAGAGGUGAAAUUCGUAGAUAUUCGGAAGAAACACCAGUGGCGAAGGCGACAUACUGGCUCAUUACUGACGC
rnacentral:rRNA from 1 species